rnacentral:rRNA from 1 species
UACGUAGGGGGCUAGCGUUGUCCGGAAUCAUUGGGCGUAAAGCGCGUGUAGGCGGCCCGGUAAGUCCGCUGUGAAAGUCGGGGGCUCAACCCUCGAAAGCCGGUGGAUACUGUCGGGCUCGAGUGCGGAAGAGGCGAGUGGAAUUCCUGGUGUAGCGGUGAAAUGCGCAGAUAUCAGGAGGAACACCAAUUGCGAAGGCAGCUCGCUGGGACGUUACUGACGCUGAGACGCGAAAGCGUGGGGAGCGAACAGG